rnacentral:misc_RNA from 1 species
CAGAGUUGAAAAACUCCCUAAACCAUCGCGAACUAUACCAAUCCGUUGCUUCGGCGGGCGGGCGCCCCCAGCGCCCCUCCAGGUCCCCCCCUCCCGGGGGGGCGCCCGCCGGAGGCACCCCAAACUAUUGUCAACUGUAUGGCCUCUCUGAGUCUUCUGUACUGAAUAAGUCA